rnacentral:rRNA from 1 species
UACGAAGGGGGCGAGCGUUGUUCGGAUUUACUGGGCGUAAAGGGCGCGUAGGCGGCCUUUUAAGUUAGGUGUGAAAGCCCGGGGCUUAACCCCGGAACUGCACUUAAUACUGGAAGGCUUGAGUAUGGCAGAGGUUAGUGGAAUUCCCAGUGGAGAGGUGAAAUUCGUAGAGAUUGGGAGGAACACCAGUAGCGAAGGCGGCUAACUGGGCCAUAACUGACGCUGAGGCGCGAAAGCGUGGGUAGCAAACAGG